rfam:Pteropus alecto contig28111, whole genome shotgun sequence.
ACGCUGCUUUUGAGCCCCUGUAGUGCCUGUUCAUAGGCUGGCGGGCAUCAGGCUACAUCACCAGAGCAGGCUUUUGCACAUAACUGGGGCUCUCUGUUUCCCGCUAGCAGCCCUUCAACUACAAGUGACAAGG